ensembl:snoRNA
UAGCAUGUUUCCAAGGUCAAUGGCUGAUAGUAGCCAUGGGAUCUCCAACUGCAUGCAAAAGCAAUCUGGAGAGACUCUUGACAGUGAAGGUCAACCAGUACCUGCAAGUGCCAUUCACCUUUCCUAUAAAC